GGCUAUUUUGAUGUAUGGAAGUGAAUCAAAUUUAAUGGCUUCAUCUCUCAUGUUUAAUUUUCACAUGAACAUGGCAGAGUUAUACCCUGGCACAGCAAAGAUCCAGGAACAGGAUGGGGACUUUCCAAAAGGCAGCACCUGGAGAAGGUUCUUAGAGCCAUGCUUUUCCUUUGGGGUCAGGUCAGCUUCUGGGACAAGGGAAAAAAUAAUUUGAACCACCAGAAAUGAAGAGUCUCAUGCUGUGGGACCAGAGUGUAUGGGGCAGGGCUGGCAGGUGAAGAUGUUGACCUGCUCCUGCCAAGGACAUGCUGCACAUGGGGCUCUGUGCCAGCAAUGCCAGGGGCAGCUCAAAUCCUCCAACACUCAGAGCCAGGUCAUAAAUGACCAUGUGGAAGCCUGGCAACCAUGGAUCCGCAGCAGUGCUGGGGGUCCUGCCCACACCAGGGUCCUGCCUGCACCAGGGCCAGUGUGUUUUUCAGGGAGGGGAGCGUUGCCACGCUCAGGAUGAAGAGUUGUUAUGGUGUGUUCUACCCCUCCUCCCCAUGUGCCACGUGUUUUGGGCCCUGCGGCAGAGACGGUUUCAUGGAUCAAACAGAGCCAGUAUUUUGGAACAUUUUCACCCUUUGAAGUGCACUAAUCAACCAGAAAAGCCUUAACUUCUGAAUCAGGGGAGAAUGGACUAAAACCAGCUAGUGAUGAUGCAGGAAGGAGACCAGUGCCACACUCACCCCACACGGCCCGCCCUGGGCCUCCCUCAGCAGCACAAACCCACCUUCGCCGUGACCCGCAGCAGAGGCUUUUCAUAUCUGCUGAAAGAAAUUUUCUGGUGGCGAAAAGCCUUCCUGGUGGUGGAGGGAAGAUCCCGCUGUUCAUCUCACAGGCUCUCACUCACUCUGCGAGGAAGAAAAGCCUUUUGAACGCCAGCCACAGCAGCCAGGCAGCGCCUUCCACUGUCUCCUUGGCAGCUUUUAAUUUAUAGUGCCCACAAUUUGACGUGUUGAUCUUCCUGAUUGCACAAGGAAUUGAAUUGGAUUCAGAUUUAUUUGUUCUAAUUUGUGCCUCCUGUUACUUAUCACCGCAGCAUUGCCGGCUGCGGACGGGCUUUGCUCAGCCAUCCCAAUUAAAGCCUGCGAAGUGCAAAUACACACAAGAGCAGCUGGAAAUGCGAUGAGCAGAGAGCAAACAGGCAAACAAGCCAGAGCCCACGGUGACUACAAACCGAGUCAUUCUGCUGUGAGUUUCACCAAGAGGAAUUGCGGCUCCGUUCAUUUCCCAGGAGUCUCUCCUGCUGCUCCACCAGUGAGCAAUUGCUGCCAGGCUGCCCUGGCCACAAUCCCACCCUGCCCCACCAUGUCCCUGCCUGCCAGGUUAUUUAGAGACUAAUUUUUGGACAGCUGAGCACUGGCUUCAACCUGCUGGUCUCCCAAAAAGGGGACAGCAACAGUGACCUGAGUGAUCCAAUCCUUGGAGAUCUACCGAUCCACAGCUGUACCCAGAAGGUCAGGAUUAGGAAUGAGGAGUCUGAGUAAAGAUUAAAGGGUUCUGUGGCUGAUCCUUUCUGGCUAUAAGCAGCACCCACAGCCUCUUGUUCUGACCAGUGCCUUCCCUGCUUCCUGGCUGAGCCCUCCCCCCAGCUCCGCUGUCAGGAGAGCUGAGAGAGUCCUCCUUGGGCUGUCACUGCCCGUCACUCCUCUCAGCAUCAGUAACAGCCCAUUGGUGCUACUGGAAGAAAAGGCCUCGCUUUUGAAUUGAGGAGUCCCAUCCUUUGGGUUUUUUCAUGCUCCCCUGUCCCUGGCAGCCCUGCAGGGCUGUAACUUCCAUGCCCGGGGGCAAAUUCUCAGUCCUGCUCUUUCUAAUAAGCUCAACAGACUGAGCUCUUUAAUUCCCUUUGGGGAGAGAUUUUUCCAGUCCUCAGCUCACCUUUGUCUGACUCCUUUCUGCAGAGCGUUUUUUGUUUCUGCUGCCAUCAGGUGGGAUUUUCUUCUCUCCUUAUUAAACCCCCCUGUGUUGUCCUCACAGGUGGCACUACAGCAAUCCAUACACAAAUAGAAAUAAAAAACAAAUGCUUUUGGCCA
rnacentral:lncRNA from 1 species